ensembl:snRNA U2 U2 spliceosomal RNA
UAGGCUUUUUGGCCUUUUGGCCAAGAUCAAGUGUAGUAUCUGUUCUUAUCAGUUUAAUAUCUGGUACACGUUCUAUCCAAGGACAAUAUAGUAAGUGGAUUUUUGAGAUACACUAAUUGGUUUCAUUUAUACUACUAGUUUAUCUUAGUUCAUUGAAAAGAAAGAUUUGUGCUAUUU